GUCUAUAAUAGGUUUCCUGUCCAUUGUGUGAUAAUGAAUUCACACAGGAGUUUAUCCAAAUACAUGCCAGCAUGUGUGGUGAAAAGGAAAGGCACAGCACCAUACUAGGUGCAGAUGACACCUCAAAGCACUUGAGCAGCUUAUCAGACAUCCUGAGGUUUCUACAAGAAAUAAUUAACACCACUAAAACCUUUAACAUUAAUGUGACAAGGGAGGACCUCUACCAGAGAGGUCUGAAACAGUGGGCCAGACAGAAACAGGCCUCCCCCAAGAACCAAC